GCUGGAUGUUGGCUGGAAAAGACUGGUUAUUAUACGACACGUUAGGAGAAAGAAAAAUGCUAAGGUCGAUACCUUCAGCAUUUUUUGGUCUGCCUUUGCUCAGUUUCUCCCCAUGGAAAAAAAAUUAUUUACUCGCUUUCUAGUUGUCCAUAAUUGCAGGAAUCAUAAUGGGGACUCACCUUUAAUUGACAUUACACUUGCAUUAGAGCUUCAACAAACCAAAGCUUAGUCCUUAAUAAUUAUAUUCAUUUGCAGAGGUUGCAUUUUAAUCUUUUUUGGAUAUUUUUUAAUUGUAUGAAAUCAGUUAAGG
rnacentral:misc_RNA from 1 species